UGGGGAAUAUUGGACAAUGGGCGAAAGCCUGAUCCAGCCAUGCCGCGUGUGUGAAGAAGGUCUUCGGAUUGUAAAGCACUUUAAGUUGGGAGGAAGGGCAGUAAGCGAAUACCUUGCUGUUUUGACGUUACCGACAGAAUAAGCACCGGCUAACUCUGUGCCAGCAGCCGCGGUAAUACAGAGGGUGCAAGCGUUAAUCGGAAUUACUGGGCGUAAAGCGCGCGUAGGUGGUUCGUUAAGUUGAAUGUGAAAGCCCCGGGCUCAACCUGGGAACUGCAUCCAAAACUGGCGAGCUAGAGUAGGGCAGAGGGUGGUGGAAUUUCCUGUGUAGCGGUGAAAUGCGUAGAUAUAGGAAGGAACACCAGUGGCGAAGGCGACCACCUGGGAUCAUACUGACACUGAGGUGCGAAAGCGUAGGGAGCAAACAGG
rnacentral:rRNA from 1 species